UAGGGAAUCUUCGGCAAUGGACGGAAGUCUGACCGAGCAACGCCGCGUGAGUGAAGAAGGUUUUCGGAUCGUAAAGCUCUGUUGUUAGAGAAGAACGUUGGUAGGAGUGGAAAAUCUACCAAGUGACGGUAACUAACCAGAAAGGGACGGCUAACUACGUGCCAGCAGCCGCGGUAAUACGUAGGUCCCGAGCGUUGUCCGGAUUUAUUGGGCGUAAAGCGAGCGCAGGCGGUUCUUUAAGUCUGAAGUUAAAGGCAGUGGCUUAACCAGUGUACGCUUUGGAAACUGGAGGGCUUGAGUGCAGAAGGGGAGAGUGGAAUUCCAUGUGUAGCGGUGAAAUGCGUAGAUAUAGGAAGGAACACCGGUGGCGAAAGCGGCUCUCUGGUCUGUAACUGACGCUGAGGCUCGAAAGCGUGGGGAGCAAACAGG
rnacentral:rRNA from 1 species